rnacentral:rRNA from 1 species
CGAAGGAUGCAAGCGUUAUCCGGAUUCAUUGGGUUUAAAGGGUGCGUUGGCGGACUGAUAAGUCAGUGGUGAAAUCUCUCAGCUUAACUGAGAAACUGCCAUUGAUACUGUUAGUCUAGAGUAUAGAUGACGUUGGCGGAAUAUGACAUGUAGUGGUGAAAUACUUAGAUAUGUCAUAGAACACCGAUUGCGAAGGCAGCUAACGAGACUAUAACUGACGCUGAGGCACGAAAGUGCGGGGAUCAAACAGGAUUAGAUACCCUGGUAGUUCGCACCAUAAACGAUGAUUACUCGUUGUUGGCGAUAUGACAGUCAGCGACCAAGCGAAAGCGAUAAGUAAUCCACCUGGGGAGUACGCCGGCAACGGUG